rnacentral:lncRNA from 1 species
GGUUAAACGCUUACACAAUACCAUCGUAGAAAUCAAUAAUCAUAAACUCAAGGCCCAACAAGACAAACUUGAUAAAAUAAAUAAGCAAUUAGAUGAAUGUGCUUCUGCUAUUACUAAAGCCCAAGUAGCAAUCAAGACUGCUGACAGAAACCUUCAAAAGGCACAAGACUCUGUCUUGCGUACAGAGAAAGAAAUAAAAGAUACUGAGAAAGAGGUGGAUGACCUAACAGCAGAGCUGAAAAGUCUUGAGGACAAAGCAGCAGAGGUCGUAAAGAAUACAAAUGCUGCAGAGGUAUGAGUUGCUUUGUAUUGAAGAGGAGAUGGGAUGAUACUGGAACCAAUUUAAAGAGCUGGAUAUAUGACAGUGCCUAGAAUGUAGAAUCCUUACCAGAGAUCCAGAAAGAACAUCGCAAUCUGCUUCAAGAAUUAAAAGUUAUUCAAGAAAAUGAACAUGCUCUUCAAAAAGAUGCACUUAGUAUUAAGUUGAAACUUGAACAAAUAGAUGGUCACAUUGCUGAACAUAAUUCUAAAAUAAAAUAUUGGCACAAAGAGAUUUCAAAAAUAUCACUGCAUCCUAUAGAAGAUAAUCCUAUUGAAGAGAUUUCGGUUCUAAGCCCAGAGGAUCUUGAAGCGAUCAAGAAUCCAGAUUCUAUAACAAAUCAAAUUGCACUUUUGGAAGCCCGGUGUCAUGAAAUGAAACCAAACCUCGGUGCCAUCGCAGAGUAUAAAAAGAAGGAAGAAUUGUAUUUGCAACGGGUAGCAGAAUUGGACAAAAUUACUUAUGAAAGAGACAGUUUUAGACAGGCAUAUGAAGAUCUUCGGAAACAAAGGCUUAAUGAAUUUAUGGCAGGUUUUUAUAUAAUAACAAAUAAAUUAAAGGAAAAUUACCAAAUGCU